AGACCGUGGAGUAGCUGCCGAGGCGGGCGAGCCCGAGUCCCGGGUUCCAGCCCGGGCUGCCAGCCUCCUGGCGCUUUUCGCCCCCGACCCCCUCUCCGAUCCGGUGGGUCCCCAGGGACACCCUGGCAGGCGAUGCUGGAAAAGCUUCUUGGGUGAUUCUGAGAAUCACGGUCCAGCCCUACUUCACUACACUUGGGGAAACUGAGGCACUGUCCCAAGGCCGCACCGCGAGUUAGCAAACUGCAAAGCCUGCGAGGAGGGCCUGGCAGACGCCGUGAUUUUCCCAGGCCUGAGUCCUGGGAGAUCUAGGUUAGGCCAGAGGGGCCGGGGAUUCAGGAAGUCCUGGGCGCCUGCUGCCCCGACAGCUCCGCGGGGUGGGCCCAGUCGGGGCGCCGCGAAGGUCAGCAGCCUCGCGAAAAUCAACAGGAAGACGCCUUUCUUUCCUCAAUCCGGGAGUGGAGAUUCCGUUUAACUUCUGCAGUCAGCAGGACAGGAAGCGCUCUCUGUCUCAGGCUGGCGCUAGCAGGGACCCGAGGGAGUGUUCAUGGGAGCCAGGUAUUGGAAGCGAGGCAUCCUUCAUUUCCUCCGCAGUGAGGUCUCUGAUCGCCCGAGUCUGGUUUUUCAAAAUCACAUCAUGUGAAGACCCCAAGGGGAGGUACCCGGGAGGAUUCCUUUAUAUGCUCAACCUUGACUCAGACUUGCAAUCGGCAUUUGAUCAAGAAACGUGGUCAGUUCUCCAAACGCAAAAUCAAUCGCUGAUUUUACUUUUUUACUUGGCAUUUCCUUGGGAUAUUCUCGAUCCUGGGAAGGAAAGAUGAUGAACUAUUGUCUUCAAUUCUGUCCCGCUGAGCAUCCUUCCUGGAUUCAGGAUUUCCUGGAGCCAGACCUUAGUAGCUUCAGGUUUAUGGCUUUCUGAAAAUAUAAUUUUGAUGAAUUUUAAUCUAUUGCUCAAGUUAGAAAAUCCCUUAAUUACAGGAGAAAACAUUUUCAAAGAGAAAGGCCAGACCUUUAGAGCAGGCCCUGGAGCCGUGCUGCUUUGAGAAAAUCUCUGGGUAGGCAGGGCCUCUGCUUCAGCUGACUGGCCGGGAGAGAACCAGGCAAGAAUGUGUUUCCCACAGCUGUCGGGCCCACCUCUGCCAGUCAGUUCUUGGCUAGAAAAUAAAUAGUGACUCAUGCCUGUAACCCCAGCACUCUGGGAGGCCGAGGUGGGCGGAUGACCUGAGGUCAGGUGUUCAAGACCAGCAUGGCCAACAUGGUGAAACCCUGUCUCUACUAAAAAUACAAAAAAUUAGCUGGGCUUAGUGGCACGUGCCUGUAAUCCCAGCUACAUAGGAGGCUGAGGCAGGAGAAUCGCUUGAACGCUGGAGGCAGAUGUUGUAGUGAGCCGACAUCACACCAUUGCACUCCAGCCUGGGCUACAGCAGCAAAACUCUAUCUCAAAAAAAAAAAAAAAAAGGUUUGCUUAAAGUCGCUCAACCUCCUGCAGAGGACUGUAAGGAGAGAAAGCAUUGUCUUGGUUACAAUUGUGUUAAAAUUGGGCUUUGGUGGCCACACGGUAUCUGAGAUGGGUAUUUCUCCUAAAGUAUUUCCAGCUAUUAAGUGAGGAAGAAUCAAUAGACAGAAUAUCACUAUUUUGCAUCCCUGAUGAAUGAAUGGAUGUAGGCACGAUUAGCAGUGGCUGCUGACAUCAGAAAAAGAGAUCACUCCAUUUCCCCACAUUAUAUGCCUUGAAAUAAAAAAACUCAGCAUCAACUAUGAGGUGGUCUAGACAUCUCUUGGGGCCCCACUGAACCCCCAUGAAUGAUCAGAUUCAGGUUUGAUAUAUGGAGCUCUGAGGGGUCCCAAAAGGUGUCUAGACCACUGAGAUCAACCACAGUGGUCCCCCCUACCCACCGUCUUGCUUUGAUUUCAGUUACCCAAGUCAACCGCAGUCUAAAAAUAGUAAAUGGAAAAUUACAGAAAAAAAAUUUGUAAGUUUUAAAUUUCGUGCCAUUCUGAAUAGCACAAUGAAAUCUCCUGCUGGCCCGCUCUGUCCCACUGAUAGGGGAGUUAAGAAGAAAUGAUUUAGGCAGAUAGUGAGGGUAAGGAAGUCCUUGGUAAGGUUUUCCUUUUAAUGGAAAGCAGCCCCCAAAUCAUUUUCUUUUCUAACAAAGAGCAGCCUGUAAAAUCGAGCUGCAGACAUAGACAAGCAAGCUAGAAGCUUGCACGGGUGAAUGCCAGCAGCUGUGCCAAUAGGAAAAGGCUACCUGGGACUAGGCAUGUUCAAAAAGGCGGCUCAAUCUUCCCUUCUCUUUGCCAGACAUGUGUACACCAAGGAGCAGGCAACAUAACCCCGGCCAAGCAAAGACCCCAUUUACAUAAUAAGAUUAGGGUGGGGUGGGCUGGGCGAGGUGGCUCAAGCCUAUAAUCCCAGCACUUUGGGAAGCUGAGGGCCGGGGGAGGAGGUGUCGCCUGCAUUCAGGAGUUCAAGACAAGCUUGGCCAACGUGGUGAAACCCCGUCUCUAUUAAAAAUACAAAAAUUAGCCAGGCCUAGUGGUGGUCGCCUGUAAUCCCAGCUACCUGGGAGGCUGAGGCCGGAGAAUUGCUUGAACCUGGGAGGUUGCAGUGAGCCAAGACUGCGCCACUGCGCUCCAGCCUGGGCAACACAGCAAGACUCUGUCUAAAAUAAAAAAAAAGAUUAGGGUGGGGUAGCCGGCUUCCCUGCGAGUUAUGUAAACAUCACACCUAGUCCAACCAAUCUUUGGGCCCGAUGUAAAUCGGACACCGCCUCCUCAAGCUUAUCUAUGAAAUCCAGU
rnacentral:lncRNA from 10 species